ACCGCCCAAGUUCAGUCAAACACUCUUAACUCACGUUGAUUUUCAGCCCACACACAACUCACACACACUAACACCUAAAACACACACACCAUUCACGCAUAUACCAUUUUUAGCUUGAGCUCAAGCUUUUGAGCUCCGAUUUGAGCACCGAGAUGAACGCCGAUCAUCUUUUCGAUCACGUAUCUAAGUAGGUCCUUUUGGGAAGUAACGACUUGAGGGAGAGAGUGACGUUACUCAUUGAUACAGAGACACAACGAGGUUGAGCUGAUGUGAUGAUGGUGCUGCAAUGAGCGGAGUCUCCAGGGUUGUUAAUAAAUAGUUAACCUGUCUAGAAUAUGUCUUCAUACAUAUGUCUAGCUACUUUCCGCUGCAAGAUGUUGUUGAUGUUAUAGUAUGUUAUGUCAUACUUUGAGUCUUAAGAGAAUGGUUUCAUACGAUGUAUAACUUGAUUAAUGAUAUUAAUUAAGUUUUAUGCUGUCUUUCAUAGACUGUUUUCAAUUGAGUAUUAAUGAAUAAAAAUGACGAGUUUUAUUAA